rnacentral:lncRNA from 1 species
GUCAAAUGUGGGGAAUCAGGAAGGAGUGCCACCCUGCUGAAGUUAAGCAUGCUGAUCUCCCACUGGAGAAGAUGAAGGAAAUGAAAGAAGGUCUCAAAUUCCAGGUAACUGAUUAGUAAGAAUUGAUUAAUUAAUAGAAGCAAGGGGAUAAUGUGGCAAAGGGUGAAUUAAACAUGGAGAUAGGGAGAAUUAGCCUUUUCCUGAAGUUGGAGAGUGGAAGAUUGUUAAAAACAAAGGUGAACAGGAAGGAAAAGUACAACUGUAUAAUAAAAGCCUAAAAACAAAUUUGAGUCUUUUCUUA